CUAAUAUCGCGAUUGACUUGUUCUUCUCUUUCUUCAAACCUACAAACAAACAUAUUGCGAUUCAAACCGAGAACAAGAUUCCUUUUUCUUUUCUCUUAAAUCUAUAUUGAUAUUUCAAUCACUGCAUGAAAUCAAAGACCAUUCUCUCCGAUUCUUGAUCCCCAUUUAUUGUAAUUCUUCUUUCUUCUCUACGAUUCAUCGGUGAAGAGAUCGACGAACCGAAUCGGGGUGUUGAGAUGCGAUAGACAGGUAAGGGGGAGAUGGAUAGAGGAUACAAUUCCUUGCUGAAAAGACCAACAAGUCCAAGAUUGCGUCAAUGUGGUGGCCUCCCAUUGGGUGAACGGUGUAAAAGGGAAUUGAAACUUUUAUAUUUAUGAUCUUUUUCCUUUUCCAUCCUAAGGAAAAGACCAAAUAAUCACAAACCCUAAAAAACCUGUAUCUUCCCCUUCUCCUCUCUCUAUUGUUUCUUAUAUCCAUGCUCUGAAGUUUCGACUCAUAGGGUAUGGCUACUGAGAGUGCUUCUCGAUCGAGCUUAGCAGUCGAUUCGUAUAUAGGGAGCUUGAUAUGUUUGACUUCCAAGAGUGAGAUCAGAUAUGGAGGCAUUCUUAAUCUCAAAUUCACACUACCUUUGUCUGUAUAGAAUUUAAGAUCUUGCUUAAAUUUCACACAACAUUCUUAUUAGUAAGUUGUUGCAAGUUUUUAAGUCUCAUAAAAAGGGACUUUUUUGUUUCUCCGUAGAGUUUUCUUAUAUGUAUAUUUCUUUCUGUACUCACUUUGUAAUUUGCUUCAUUAAUGGCAGUACGAUCCUUAGAAUAGAAGGAAAGAAAAAGGAUGAUCACAAAUUCCACCAAGUGACAAAGUCUAUGAAUAUAUAUUAUUCCCUGGAAGUGAAAUCAAGGAUUUGCAGGUCAAAUCUUCUCCACCCACUCACCCUGCUUAACCUACACCACCAAUUAACAAUGAUCCAGCUAUCAUUCAGAUAGGGGAGAUUGGAAGUGCUUUAGUAAAUGUUUAGAGUUUGGUAUUAAAUUUUUACUAAUUAAAAUUCAUUGCAGCCAACGAUUAUCUUCUAGAACUGUGUGCAAGCUAUCUUGCAAAAAAAUUUGUAUGUGCCAAACUUUUAUUUGCUUAUUACAAGAACUUUAUACUACUACACUUGCAUUAGUGUGUAAUUAUUUUUGCACAGUAUAUUUGGAUUGGUAUGGGUUAUCCUUAUCAUUUCUAUAUGAAAGAAUGUUUUAAUCUUAUUUAUUAUGUAGGGAUUUAGUUUUGGACAUUUUUAUUCUUAUGUAUUGAAUUAAUUUCUACAUUUGUAAUAAUUUAUUCCCUCAACUUCACAAGUUCAUGCAUUUUUUUCAUGUUUAUUAUUCAUAGCUGAUUAUCAGGUUUAUCUUAUUCAUACUUUUUUCUCAACUUUACAAGUUCAUGCCUUUUUCUUAAUGGUGUUGCUGGUUGAUUGCUUAUGAGGGGGUUUUUAGAUUAGGAUUUCUGUUAAUUGCUUGCUGAGUCUCGAUGAUGGCGUCAUGGUCGGUGGUGUGCUUGCAAACAUUGAUUCGGUUUCUAGGGAGAUGGUGGUGGCUGAGGCAGAGGCUUCGAAACCAGGUCGAUUUGGGAACGGAAAGGGUUGGAAGGUAGUAGUUCGAUGGAAUCAUAAUGUUCAUUCCAUUCUUGACUCGCCAAAGCUUGAAUCACAUUCCCAAAUAGACCAAUUAUUGAGGAUAAGUUCGGUUUGCUUCAGACAUGAAGGCUUUGAGUGAUGAUUUUGAAAGAUUUAUAUCGUUUAAUCCAUGACAUAUAUACCCUAAGCAAGGAGCAUGAGAAGAUGAUACAACUCACCAUGGUUUUCAGAGCACAUUUUUUUCCAUAUAUAUUAUUUUGUUUGGAGUUCUUGUUGCACAAUGAAUGUUAAUUCUGCCAAAGUGAAAUGCAUCCCAACUACUACGAGUAGUACCAUUGAUUCUUUCUGCAUUUUGAAUUCUAAACUGAAUUUAUUGACCAUGUCUAUUCAUGUGACACAAGAAAUAUUUUUACAAUAUUAAAUUUAUUUGUAAUUUCAUAACUACUAUCAUAGCUUUAAUGCAUUAUUAUAAUAAAGUGUUGAAUGUAAUUUCUUUUUUUCGAAAAAAAUGAUGUAAUCCUUAAACAAAAGAUAUAUCCAAAAUCUUAAAGAAAAAAAAAGACCAAACUUCAAGUAAAA